rnacentral:tRNA from 1 species
AUCUUUUUAGUAUAAACCCAAUAUAAGUGACUUCCAAUUACUUAAUCUUGGUUAAACUCCAAGAAAAGAUA